GUGUCAGCAGCCGCGGUAAUACGUAGGGUGCAAGCGUUAAUCGGAAUUACUGGGCGUAAAGGGUGAGUAGGCGGAAUGGUAAGUUAGAUGUGAAAAUCCUGAGCUUAACUUAGGACGUGCAUUUAAGACUGCGAUUCUAGAGAGAUUGAGAGGGUGGUAGAAUUCCAAGUGUAGCAGUGAAAUGCGUAGAGAUUUGGAGGAAUACCGAUGGCGAAGGCAGCCACCUGGCGAUUAUCUGACGCUGAGUCACGAAAGCGUGGGGAGCAAACAGGAUUAGAUACCCUGGUAGUCC
rnacentral:rRNA from 1 species